UACGUAGGGUGCAAGCGUUGUCCGGAAUUAUUGGGCGUAAAGAGCUCGUAGGCGGUCUGUCGCGUCUGCUGUGAAAACUCAGGGCUUAACCCUGAGCUUGCAGUGGGUACGGGCAGACUAGAGUGCGGUAGGGGAGACUGGAAUUCCUGGUGUAGCGGUGAAAUGCGCAGAUAUCAGGAGGAACACCGGUGGGCGAAGGCGGGUUCUCCUUGGGCCUUACCUGACG
rnacentral:rRNA from 1 species